CAGGCUGCAACUCGCCUGCAUGAAGUUGGAAUUGCUAGUAAUCGCGAAUCAGAAUGUCGCGGUGAAUACGUUCCCGGGCCUUGUACACACCGCCCGUCACACCAUGAGAGUCGGAAAUGCCCGAAGCCGGUGACCCAACCAAAAGGAGGGAGCCGUCGAAGGCAGGUCGGAUGACUGGGGUGAAGUCGUAACAAGGUAAC
rnacentral:rRNA from 1 species